rnacentral:rRNA from 1 species
GAUGAACGCUAGCGGCAGGCCUAAUACAUGCAAGUCGAACGGAUAUAUGUUUUUCGGAAUAUAUAUUAGUGGCGCACGGGUGAGUAACACGUACAUAACUUGCCCUCAAGCGGGGGAUAGCCUUGGGAAACUGAGAGUAAUACCCCAUAGAAUUAUUGGACGGCAUCGUUUGAUAAUUAAAACUACGGUGCUUGGGGAUAGAUGUGCGUCUGAUUAGCUAGUUGGUGAGGUAACUGCUCACCAAGGCGACGAUCAGUAGGGGGCGUGAGAGCGUGGCCCCCCACACGGGUACUGAGACACGGACCCGACUCCUACGGGAGGCAGCAGUAAGGAAUAUUGGUCAAUGGACGAAAGUCUGAACCAGCCAUCCGCGUGCAGGAUGAAGGUCCUAUGGAUUGUAAACUGCUUUUAGCAGAGAAGAAAAGCAUCCUUUUAAGGGUGUCUGACGGUAUCUGCGGAAUAAGCACCGGCUAACUCCGUGCCAGCAG